GACGAACGCUGGCGGCGUGCUUAACACAUGCAAGUCGAACGAUGAAGAAGAGAAACGCGAACUUCGGUUCAAAUUUCACUUCGGAUUAGUGGCAGACGGGUGAGUAACGCGUGAGCAACCUACCUCUUACAAAGGGAUAGCCUCGGGAAACCGUGAUUAAUACCAUAUGACACCUUCAUAAGGCAUCUUAAGAAUGUUAAAGCUACGGCGGUAAGAGAUGGGCUCGCGUCCCAUUAGCUAGUUGGUGAGGUAACGGCCCACCAAGGCGACGAUGGGUAACCGGCCUGAGAGGGGGAACGGUCACAUUGGAACUGAGACACGGUCCAAACUCCUACGGGAGGCAGCAGUGGGGAAUAUUGCACAAUGGAGGGAACUCUGAUGCAGCGACGCCGCGUGAGCGAUGAAGGAAUGCGUUUCGUAAAGCUCUGUUCUAUGGGAAGAAAAGGACUGUACCAUAGGAGAAAGCCCCGGCUAAAUACGUG
rnacentral:rRNA from 1 species